AGGGUGGCAGAGAAAGAUGGCCUGAGAGGGGGGAAAUGAACAAAUAUCUAUGAUAAUUGUGGCAACAAGGCAAAAGUGAACCAGACAACCACAUGAGAGGAGAAGGCCCGAUCCAAAGACCCUUGAAGUCAGUGGAGAGGAGGAUUCUUGACUGAAUGCUCCCAAUAUGGCAAUUUCUGACUACAGGAUAGCUUAAUGAAAAGUGCAAAAUCAAACUAAGCUGAUGCCAGCUGGCUUUUGAGCAGCCAAGAGAAACAAAACUACAGUCACAGACAAAGAACUAAAAACAUAUGUACUUGGAUUGAAAUGACUGAUGGAAUAGAAGGGUUUUGUAUCAAAGGUACAGCAGAAAGGAACAAAUCUGGAGUGACUCCAUGGACUUUAUGCUGAUCCAACAAAGAACAGAAUUUGACCAGAUCUGCUUGGCCUAAUUUAAUUUUCCAUGACACAUUCCCUCUGGUUAUGUCGAGUAAUGAGGAAAGCAGCAUGCUCAUCUGCACUGUACUCCAGCAAGAUACCUUGAGUGAGGCCAACAUGUCUUUGACAUGCAAACUAAGGUGCCGUGCUCCUGGACACUGUCUUUCUGGUCUGAGAACCAUUAAUCCUAUUAAUUGCAUAUAAAAAGACUGGUAGCAAUUCUACAAAUGAGUAAACACAGAGAUAAAAGUGUAAUCGUACUAGUACAGCAAAUUGGAUUCAGGUCGUUAUUGAACAAUCCUGUUUCAUUUCAGCAAUUUUAUUAUCACCGUUGCUGGAACAAAUCACUUUAUUAAA